rnacentral:rRNA from 1 species
GGAGCCGAAGCGAAAGCGAGUCUUAAGAGGGCGGAUAGUUAGUGUACGUAGACCCGAAACCGCAGUGAUCUACCCAUGUCCAGGUUGAAGCGCAGGUAAAAUUGCGUGGAGGACCGAACCUGUGAGCGUUGAAAAGCUUUAGGAUGAGAUGUGGGUAGAGGUGAAAUUCCAAUCGAACGCGGAGAUAGCUGGUUCUCCCCGAAAUAGCUUUAGGGCUAGCCUCAAGUAGUAAGUAUAGGCGGUAGAGCACUGAUCGGGCUAGGGGCCAUAAAGGUUACCGAACCCUGUCAAACUCCGAAUGGUUAUACUGUAGAGCUUGGGAGUCAGACUACGAGUGAUAAGAUCCGUGGUCAAAAGGGAAACAGCCCAGACCACCAGCUAAGGUCCCCAAUGUCGUACUAAGUGGAAAAGGAUGUGGGGUCUCUAAAACAACCAGAAUGUUGGCUUAGAAGCAGCCACCAUUUAAAGAGUGCGUAAUAGCUCACUGGUCGAGAGACCCUGCGCCGAAGAUUACCGGGGCUAAAGUACGAAACCGAAGCUGUGGCUACGACGUAAGUCGUGGGGUAGGGGAGCGUUCUGUGAGGGCUGAAGUCGUUCUGUAAGGAACGGUGGACUUCACAGAAGUGAGAAUGUUGGUAUGAGUAGCGAAAAGAAUGGUGAGAAUCCAUUCCACCGAAAGCAUAAGGAUUCCUGGGCAACGAUCGUCGUCCCAGGGUAAGUCGGGACCUAAUCCGAGGCAUGGAGCGUAGGAGAUGGACAACUGGCAGAUAUUCCAGUACCGGUAAUGAUUGUUUGAGCGAUGGAGUGACACAGGAGGGCAGGCAGGCAGGAGAUUGGUUGUUCCUGUACAAGCGUGUAGGGUGGAACGUAGGCAAAUCCGCGUUCUGUGAGCCUGAGGCGUGAUGUGGAGGUUCCGGAAACGGAACCGAAGCUGCUGACCCCACACUGUCGAGAAAAGCUUCUAGUUAGAGAAUUACCGCCCGUACCGUAAACCGACACAGGUAUGCGGGGAGAGAAUCCUAAGGUGCGCGGGAGAACCCUCGUUAAGGAACUCGGCAAAAUGUACCCGUAACUUCGGGAUAAGGGUAGCCGCUGUUGUGAAGUCUGAACAGACGGAGCAUGAGGCGGUCGCAGAGAAGAGGCCCAAGCGACUGUUUACCACAAACACAGGUGCCUGCUAAAGAGAAAUCUGACGUAUAGGUGCUGACACCUGCCCAGUGCCGGAAGGUUAAGGAAGGAUGUCCGGAGCAAUCCAAAGCAUUCGACCGAAGCCCCGGUGAACGGCGGCCGUAACUAUAACGGUCCUAAGGUAGCGAAAUUCCUUGUCGGGUAAG